AUUGAACGCUGGCGGUAUGCUUAACACAUGCAAGUCGAACGGUAGCAUGACUUAGCUUGCUAAGUUGAUGACGAGUGGCGAACGGGUGAGUAACGCGUAGGAAUAUGCCUUAAAGUGGGGGACAACUUGGGGAAACUCAAGCUAAUACCGCAUAAUUUCCUUGGAAAAAAGCUGGGGACCUUCGGGCCUGGCGCUUUAAGAUUAGCCUGCGUACGAUUAGCUAGUUGGUAGGGUAAAGGCCUACCAAGGCGACGAGCGUUAGCUGGUCUGAGGUGAUGACCAGCCACACUUGAACUGAGACACGGUCCAGACGCCUACGGGAGGCAGCAGUGGUGAAUAUUGGACAAUGGGGGCAACCCUGUUCCAGCAAUGCCGCGUGUGUGAAGAAGGCCUGAGGGUUGUAAAGCACUUUCAGUGUGGAGGAGAGUAUAUAGGUUAAGAGCUAGAAUACUGGACGUUACCCACAGAAGAAGCACCGGCUAACUCCGUGCCAGCAGCCGCAGUAA
rnacentral:rRNA from 1 species